GACGAACGCUGGCGGCGUGCUUAACACACGCAAGUCGAACGGUGAAGGGGUCUGCUUUUGUGGGCCCUGGAUGAGUGGCGAACGGGUGAGUAACACGUGAGUAACCUGCCCCCUUCUUCUGGAUAACCGCAUGAAAGUGUGGCUAAUACGGGAUAUUCUGGGUCUGUCGCAUGAUGGGUCUGGGAAAGAUUGCGCCUUUGGGUGUUUUUGGUGGGGGAUGGGCUCGCGGCCUAUCAGCUUGUCGGUGGGGUGAUGUGCUACCAAGGCGGUGACGGGGAGCCGGGCGGAGAGGGUGGACGGUCACACUGGGACUGAGAAACGGCCCAGACUCCUACGGGAGGCAGCAGUGGGGAAUAGUGCACAAUGGGCGCAAGCCUGAUGCAGCGACGCCGCGUGAGGGAUGGAGGCCUUCGGGUUGUAAACCUCUUUCGCCAGUGAAGCAGGCCUGUUCCUUGUGGGUGGGUUGACGGUAGCUGGAUAAGAAGCGCCGGCUAACUACGUG
rnacentral:rRNA from 1 species